UGCCAGCCGCCGCGGUAAUACGGGGGGUGCAAGCGUUGUUCGGAAUUAUUGGGCGUAAAGGGCGCGUAGGCGGGUUCUUAAGUCUGAUGUGAAAUCCCUCGGCUCAACCGAGGACGUGCAUUGGAUACUGGGAACCUUGAGUCCUGGAGAGGAAAGCGGAAUUCCAAGUGUAGAGGUGAAAUUCGUAGAUAUUACACAGAACACCGAUAGCGAAGGCAGCUCACUAGGCCUGGAUUGACGCUCAGGGACGAAAGCCUGGGGAUCAAACCGGAUUAGAUA
rnacentral:rRNA from 1 species